CUUGUGAACAGCGGCGUGUAGUUCAGGAACACGAAUCCGCGCGCCUGGUCGAUGCAGUGGAACAGCGGAUUCCAGUCGAACAGCGCCAGCAUGAAGGCCGGCAGCGAGUUGGCGAGGAACAUCUUGCCCGACACGAUCAUGCUCGCCCGCUG
rnacentral:ncRNA from 1 species